rnacentral:rRNA from 1 species
GGUCAAGUGAAGAAGCGCAUACGGUGGAUGCCUUGGCAGUCAGAGGCGAUGAAAGACGUGGUAGCCUGCGAUAAGCUUUGGGGAGUCGGCAAACAGACUGUGAUCCAGAGAUCUCUGAAUGGGGAAACCCACUCAGCAUAAGCUGAGUAUCUUGUACUGAAUACAUAGGUGCAAGAGGCGAACCAGGGGAACUGAAACAUCUAAGUACCCUGAGGAAAAGAAAUCAACCGAGAUUCCCUUAGUAGUGGCGAGCGAACGGGGACCAGCCCUUAAGUUGAUUUGAGAUUAGUGGAACGCUCUGGA